rnacentral:rRNA from 1 species
AGCAACGCGUGAGGAACCUGCCUCAAAGAGGGGGACAACAGUUGGAAACGACUGCUAAUACCGCAUAAGCCCACGGCUCGGCAUCGAGCAGAGGGAAAAGGAGUGAUCCGCUUUGAGAUGGCCUCGCGUCCGAUUAGCUAGUUGGUGAGGUAACGGCCCACCAAGGCAACGAUCGGUAGCCGGACUGAGAGGUUGAACGGCCACAUUGGGACUGAGACACGGCCCAG